rnacentral:rRNA from 1 species
GAUGAACGCUGGCGGCGUGCCUAAUACAUGCAAGUCGAGCGAACAGAUGAUGAUCUUGCGCCUCUGACGUUAGCGGCGGACGGGUGAGUAACACGUGUAUAACCUACCUGUAUUACUGGUAUCACUUCGGGAAACCGGAUCUAAUACCGUAUGAUAUAUUGCACCGCGUUGUUCAUUGGUAAGAUUCGGUGUUGGGGGCACUUCUAGCUGCAUCCGCGCCUCAUUGGCUGGUUGGUAAGUUAACGGCUUACCACGGCUACGAUGCGUAGCCGACGUGAGAGGGUGAUAGGCCACAUGGGAACUGAGCCACGGUCCAGACUACUGAGGGACGCAGCAGAAGGCAAUCUUACGCAAUGGGCGAAAGCAUGACGGAGUAAGGCCGCGUGAGUGAUGAAGGCCCUCGGAUCGUAAAAAUCUGCUAUUAGGGAAGAACCACUGUGUAAGUAAAUAUGCACGUAUUGACGGUACCUAAUAAGAAAGCCACGGCUAACUACGUG